GGGGAUUUAGCUCACUGGUAGAGCGCUUGCCUAGCAAGCGCAAGGUCCUGGGUUCAAUCCCCAGCUCCA
rnacentral:tRNA from 1 species